AGAGUUUGAUCCUGGCUCAGAUUGAACGCUGGCGGCAUGCCUUACACAUGCAAGUCGAACGGUAACGCGGGGCAACCUGGCGACGAGUGGCGAACGGGUGAGUAAUACAUCGGAACGUGCCCAGUAGUGGGGGAUAGCCCGGCGAAAGCCGGAUUAAUACCGCAUACGACCUACGGGUGAAAGGGGGGGAUCGCAAGACCUCUCGCUAUUGGAGCGGCCGAUGUCAGAUUAGGUAGUUGGUGGGGUAAAGGCCUACCAAGCCUACGAUCUGUAGCUGGUCUGAGAGGACGACCAGCCACACUGGGACUGAGACACGGCCCAGACUCCUACGGGAGGCAGCAGUGGGGAAUUUUGGACAAUGGGCGCAAGCCUGAUCCAGCCAUGCCGCGUGCGGGAAGAAGGCCUUCGGGUUGUAAACCGCUUUUGUCAGGGAAGAAACGCUCUGAGCUAAUACCUCGGGGUAAUGACGGUACCUGAAGAAUAAGCACCGGCUAACUACGUGCCAGCAGCCGCGGUAAUACGUAGGGUGCAAGCGUUAAUCGGAAUUACUGGGCGUAAAGCGUGCGCAGGCGGUCUUGCAAGACAGAUGUGAAAUCCCCGGGCUCAACCUGGGAACUGCAUUUGUGACUGCAAGGCUGGAGUGCGGCAGAGGGGGAUGGAAUUCCGCGUGUAGCAGUGAAAUGCGUAGAUAUGCGGAGGAACACCGAUGGCGAAGGCAAUCCCCUGGGCCUGCACUGACGCUCAUGCACGAAAGCGUGGGGAGCAAACAGGAUUAGAUACCCUGGUAGUCCACGCCCUAAACGAUGUCAACUGGUUGUUGGGAGGGUUUCUUCUCAGUAACGUAGCUAACGCGUGAAGUUGACCGCCUGGGGAGUACGGCCGCAAGGUUGAAACUCAAAGGAGUUGACGGGGACCCGCACAAGCGGUGGAUGAUGUGGUUUAAUUCGACGCAACGCGAAAAACCUUACCUACCCUUGACAUGUCUGGAAUCCUGCAGAGAUGUGGGAGUGCUCGAAAGAGAAUCAGAACACAGGUGCUGCAUGGCCGUCGUCAGCUCGUGUCGUGAGAUGUUGGGUUAAGUCCCGCAACGAGCGCAACCCUUGUCAUUAGUUGCUACGCAAGAGCACUCUAAUGAGACUGCCGGUGACAAACCGGAGGAAGGUGGGGAUGACGUCAGGUCAUCAUGGCCCUUAUGGGUAGGGCUACACACGUCAUACAAUGGCCGGUACAGAGGGCUGCCAACCCGCGAGGGGGAGCUAAUCCCAGAAAACCGGUCGUAGUCCGGAUCGCAGUCUGCAACUCGACUGCGUGAAGUCGGAAUCGCUAGUAAUCGCAGAUCAGCUUGCCGCGGUGAAUACGUUCCCGGGUCUUGUACACACCGCCCGUCACACCAUGGGAGCGGGUUCUGCCAGAAGUAGUUAGCCUAACCGUAAGGAGGGCGAUUACCACGGCAGGGUUCGUGACUGGGGUGAAGUCG
rnacentral:rRNA from 1 species